rnacentral:ncRNA from 2 species
UUCGUCCUUCAGGGUUUGGUGAAAUUCCAUGCCGGCGGUAAAGCCCGCCAGCCGAAAGGCAGAUCUGGUGAAAUUCCAGGGCCGACAGUUAAAGUCUGGAUGAAAGAAGGAAAGC